UAAAAAAUAAGCACAAUUUGAUACAUAAAAAUAUGAAUUGGCACUAAAUUGAAGUUCUAAAGAGCAAGCCAAUUAGGACUCAUUAGUGAAUUUCAAAAUAGAUUUUCUAAGAGAUACUCAAGAAAAUUCAACACAUUAUUCUCCCCCUUUUUCAUUAAGUUAGAGGCUCUUAAGAUCAACUGUUUGAAUUACAAUUUGGUUCAUGAUUUAUGCAUAAGAUAUAUUAACCAAAUAACAAGCCUCGAGGUGUAUCAUAAAGAUUUUUAGAUUUAAAUUUCAGAUGAUACAUAUUGGAGAGUAUUAGGAUCACUUUUCAUUUAGUAUUCUUUCUCUCUUCUUUAGUUAUAGAUUUAUGCGAUUAAGUUCCAUAAGAUCUCUCCUUCUGAAAUUUUCUUUCUCCCCCUCAAUUGAUCAUUCCAUUUUAGAGUUUAGAAUUUGAAGAUAAUGUUCAAUAAAAUUGUCAAUCUCGAAAAUAUAUUUUCUAUAAGUUUCAGCUUAUUUUCAUAAAACUCAGGGUUUGAGAUAAGACAACCUUUAUAGAACUCAUCUCAAGGUAUAAACUUAUUAUAUAAUUAAAGCAAGUCUUGCAAUAUAAGGAGGUUCAUCAAAAUCAAUUCAUAACGUAUAGAAGAUAUUUAUCAAAUGGACGUGAUAUUUUGCAUUUAGAUUGAAUAUCCAAAGCU
rnacentral:lncRNA from 1 species